CCUACGGGAGGCAGCAGUGAGGAAUAUUGGUCAAUGGCCGCAAGUCUGAACCAGCCAAGUCGCGUGCAGGAUGACGGCUCUAUGAGUUGUAAACCGCUUUUGUCCGGGGGCAAACCGCGAUACGUGUGUCGGGUUGAGAGUAUCGUACGAAUAAGCAUCGGCUAACUCCGUGCCAGCAGCCGCGGUAAUACGGAGGAUCCGAGCGUUAUCCGGAUUUAUUGGGUUUAAAGGGUGCGUAGGCGGAUUGAUAAGUUAGAGGUAAAAUGUCGGGGCUCAACCCCGAAACUGGUUAAUACUGUUGGACUAGAGUGUGGGUGCGGUAUGCGGAAUGUGUGGUGUAGCGGUGAAAUGCUUAGAGAUCAUACAGAACACCGAUUGCGAAGGCAGCUUACC
rnacentral:rRNA from 1 species